UAUUUUUAAUAGAGACGGGGUUUCACCAUGUUGGCCAGGAUGGUCUCGAUCUCUUGACCUCGUGAUCCCCCCCCUCAGCCACCAAAGUGCUAGGAUUACAGGCGUGAGCCACCAUGCUGGGCCGGCAACAUAUGUUAUUGAACCAGUUUGGGGUCCUCUUACCAGGUGCAGUAAUAUUGGAUAGCCACACUGAGGUUUGCAGCUGGAAAAAGGAAGGACUUUAUUUGCAGGUCACCAAGCAAGGAAGUCCAGGCAACUUAAUGGUUAAGUCCUGACCUCCCCAGUGGCUUGCAGGUAAGGGUUUUUAAAGGAAGGAGUAUGGUUUUGGCCUAAAAGAGCAAGGUAUCUUGAAGCGGGGACUUACAGUUCAUAGGUAGAUUCAAAGAGUUUCUGAUUUGCAGUUGGUUAAGGAAGAAAAGCUUUAUUUAACAAUUUGGGAUCAGCAGAAGAGAAUGUCAGCUCUGGCUCAUGAGUGGGACUUUCUCUAGGCUCCCUAGGAAGAAUUUAGAACAGAAAGAAGAAUGGGGUCAGAGUUCAGUCCCCAGUUCUCCCUUAUCUGAGGUCUGUGUGCCAGUGAAUCCAUUUGGGAGUUUCUGAAAAACAACUCAGAGACACAUGUUAAGAUGUUGCUUUUAGUUUCUAUAAAGGAACUAUCCUGUGGUUCUAGCUUAUUUGGCUACUGUUUCAAGCUGCUAUUACCUUCUUGCUUCUUAUGGUGCAUAUUCACUUCUCAGGGCAAGCUAGUGCCUGAAAUUUCCCUUGAAGAAACUCAAGGUUUUCCUACAUUUCCAUGUUUGGGGGUCCCAAAAUCCCCUAAGAGUGGUGAUCUCUGCUCUGUUUGGCAUAUACUAGAAACUAGUGGGGUAAAUGGUGUAUCCAUAAACUUUUAAUCCGUGUCCUACAUUUACAGGAAUUUUCAUGGGCUGGAAAAUUAAAACACACUGAAAAUCCUUUAAACUGAAUUGUUAACCCAUUUCAAAAUGAGUGUUCCCAGGACAUGCUAAUAAAUUCAUUAUGUCAUGUUUAUGUUUGGAAUCUCAUAAAGGCAGUUUCUAGAACAGCCCUCUCUGGUGUUUCAUAGAUGCAGCUCUCAGGAUACCUUGUACUAACAUAAUGUAUACUCUGACAUCUUCCAUUUAGGGAGGCCUUAAGGCUCUGAGCUCGUUUUUCUGUUGACCAUUUUCACGUCAAUUUUUUUACUACUAGCUAAAAAGCACCUUUCAUAGAAAAAUUAAAAAUAAAAGGAAAUACUUGGCUCAUGAGAUCUUGUAAGGAUAUUUAGUAAAGUCCCAGAGCUGAUUAUUUUCCUGUAAUUCUCUGUUUAUACAUUAAAGAGUCAUAUUUCUUUUUCCUGGUUGAAAGUUGACUUUUUAAAUUGAUAUAUAGACACUCUCUUCUUAAUGCCAGUGACAUAAUUUUUGUUACUCUCUCUAAUUGCUUAUGUAAGGCUGAUAUAAGAAUGAUUCCCAGUAGACAUCACCAAAUGUACCUAACCCAGUUAUGUUUUCAAGCUGACUUUUGUUAUUGUAACAUGAUUAAAAUACCACAUUAAUUAUGCAAAACUCUAUAAAAUUGAAUUCAACAGAGAAAAUAAAUGCAUUUUAAUAAUACAUAUGUUAUUUAUAUAUAUUUUUGUUGAAUGAGAUGCAGAAUAUAUCAUCAAUUCACAGAGAUUAACUAUACUUUUUAUACGGUUAUUUUAUUUAAUCUUAUCCAGUUAGAAGAAGAAAACAUUUUUCAGGGUGAACUAGGACUUUAUAUCCUUUCCAUUAAUUUUAUUUUAGCUUCAUAAUCUAAUUUGAAUACUUAUGUGGUCUAUUGAAAAUUUCCAGAGGUAUUCCAGUAUUCUUUAUACUUGGGUUUUCAUUUAAAAAGAACAAAUAGAAUCAAUGUCAGAAAAGAUAAAGUUUCAAAGUUUGCUAUUAUUUUUAUUUAAACAUAGUAACAGAAAAAUUAUUUGGUCUAUCCUUUACAAAUUCGUAUAUGGUUACAGUUCUGAGCACAAAUAUUUUUGGAGCAAGGUACAGACAUGGAAAUGGUAAGAUGUACAAUUGGCAUAUAAGGAUUGGUAAUUAAAUUUUUUCUCAAAUGUUUUUUAAGAAAUAAAUUGGAUAUGUAGAACGAGGGAUAACAUAAUAUAAAGAGAUAAAACAAUUGGUGCAAUUUUGAUUUAAAAAUUAAACCACAAUUCAGAGACAUAUUAAGCAAAAGGGGUGAGUGUAUAGGACUUAAAUUAUGUCUUAUCAGAGGUCAAACAAGAUCACUUGUAAAAUAAAUUUAAUUAUUCAGAAUAGACAGG
rnacentral:lncRNA from 1 species